rnacentral:lncRNA from 1 species
CUGAUUAGUCAAGGGGUCUCGACCUCCCAUGGGGUGGACAACGUGCAACAAGUGCACCAACCUCUGAGAAAGAAUCAUUCUCUCUCCUCUCUCCUCUCUCUUCAUUCGCCCUUCUCCCUCCGGUCUCCACCUGACUAGGGUGAUCGUAGAGAAGCUGCCAUUCUGAUAUUCCCAGAGAGACCUUAGCUCACAGCAAGGCAGCACGUAGCCAGAUCACAGUGGCGUUUACUCUGCGCCUUAGCUCGCGUGCAGAUCGCCGCAUUGGCAGAAACAAUAACCUUCUUUGUGACACUUCCGGCCCUGCUUGCGAGAGGUGGCCUGGCGGUACUUCUGGCGCUAAAGCUCGGGACUCUUCUCCACCUGUAGGAGGCCCUGAGCGCGCCCACGCCCUAACCGCCCUUGCGCUUCCAAAUUUCGCUGCUCUCAAAGGGCUUGGGUCUUUCUAGGAGCUAUGAUGCCCGAACGCACUUAAAUAUCUUCAGCUGUUGGGAAAGGGAAUUGCUUUCAUUUUAAGGGUCUCCACGGAGGCGAAUAGUUAAAGGAGGAGAUACAUUUUGACACUGCAAAAUGCUUGCGAUGGAAAAGAGAUUGAAGCAGGUUCACUGCUGAGAGGCGCCUCCAGUUGAACCCUUUGUCACUCCACAAUUCUUCCUUCUUUGUGAUUUGCUAGCACCUGAACUGGGGGUUUUAAGAAAGGAGAGGUUAAGUGAAGAGAGGAACUGGAGCAAUGAUGCCCCGUUAGCUGUAAAUUCACUGCUCCUAAAGAAUAAACCCCCAAUGGUUUAUUCUAGCACUUCUUUUUGUCUUUCAUUGCGCAUAGGCAUAUUCAGGUGUGGAAGCACACAUAGAUAAUUCUCUAUCACACGUUUAAGAUACUUCAUAUAAUAGAAUUCGUGUUAUGAAGAUGCAACAUAUACGUGUUCUGGAAAAUUUGUGAAACAAAAGUUCAAAAAAGAAAAUUUGAAUCAUCCCACACUAAAAC